rnacentral:ncRNA from 1 species
CCCGCUAAACUUAAGUAUAUUAAUAAGCGGAGGAAAAGAAACCAAUAGGGAUUGCCCUAAUAACGGCGAGUAAAGCGGCA